rnacentral:rRNA from 1 species
UACGAAAGGUGCAAGCGUUGUUCGGAAUGACUGGGCGUAAAGCGCACGUAGGUGGGCUUGUAAGUCGGAUGUGAAAGCCCCAGGCUUAACCUGGGAAUGGCACCCGAAACUAUAAGUCUUGAAUGCCUGAGAGGUUGGUGGAAUUCCUGGUGUAGGAGUGAAAUCCGUAGAUAUCAGGAGGAAUAUCGGAGGCGAAGGCGGCCAACUGGUGGUGCAUUGACACUGAGGUGCGAAAGCGUGGGGAG